CCCUCGGGGUCUUGACACCACGCAGGCGAAGAAGCCUGUUCCAAUGCCAGCUCCCCCAGGAAACCUACCCGGCCCACCCCUAGAAGUGGUGCCUCGCUCUCCUUAACUCUUGGACUUUGUUCCACGUUCAUAACUUAGUAUUUGACGAACGCCCCGUGAUGUUUGUUCUUUUUUCCCACACAUAAUAGACCAUAAAGAUUGGCUUCCUUACUUUAUGACUGAACAAGUCCUUUUCCCCGCUGUGUCUCAGCUUCCUCUUAUGUAAAAUGGAAAUAUUAAAUCUAGACGCCGGUCUGAUUAGGUUGCUUUGAAGAUCGAACCGGAUGAGGGAAGCCAAAGACUUCAUAGGCUGUAAAGUGGUUAAACUGAACUGCUACCCAAUUGCUAUUUUUUUCUUCUCCUCUCUCCCCCUCAAGCUAAAUAUUCUUUAGAUCUCUUGUGGUUUCUUCAGGCGGUCUUUGCGACUCCCUAUGCUCCAACCUGGAAGAAAUCUCUUUACACUUCCCUUUCACAGAGCCCUGCAUUUUAACUUCCCUAUCAGAAGCAAGAAAAAUAUUUAUCAUUUUUAAAGGGCUUACUCUAUGCCAAGCCCUGAUAAAACUCUACGUGGGUUAUCUCAUUUAAUUUCACAACAUCCUUGUAAGUUUUCCAUGGACACAGCCUAGCAGAAAGAUGCAGCCUUCAUGCUUCGCUGACUACUGACCUCUGACCGACCGCCUUGAUGACAGCACCCUCGUGUGCCUUCCCAGUUCAGUUCCGGCAGCCCUCAGUCAGUGGCCUCUCGCAGAUAACCAAGAGCCUGUAUAUCAGCAAUGGUGUGGCCGCCAACAACAAGCUCAUGCUGUCUAGCAACCAGAUCACCAUGGUCAUCAAUGUCUCAGUGGAGGUAGUGAACACCUUGUAUGAGGAUAUCCAGUACAUACAGGUACCUGUAGCUGAUGCCCCUAACUCACGUCUCUGUGACUUCUUUGACCCUAUUGCUGACCAUAUCCACAGCGUGGAGAUGAAGCAGGGCCGUACUUUGCUGCACUGCGCUGCUGGUGUGAGCCGCUCAGCCGCCCUGUGCCUCGCCUACCUCAUGAAGUACCACGCCAUGUCCCUGCUGGACGCCCACACGUGGACCAAGUCGUGCCGGCCCAUCAUCCGACCCAACAGCGGCUUUUGGGAGCAGCUCAUCCACUAUGAGUUUCAGUUGUUUGGCAAAAACACCGUGCACAUGGUCAGUUCCCCAAUGGGAAUGAUCCCUGACAUCUAUGAGAAGGAAGUCCGUUUGAUGAUUCCACUGUGAGCCAUCCCACCAGCCCCUGCAUUGGAGUCAGGGGUACAGGUCUAUUGUUGAUUCUACACCAAGAUCCAAACUUGAACAUUCUACUUUUGUUUAUACAGAAAAAAACAGAUGAUGCCUUUUAUGAGCACAAGGAAAAAGAGUUGCUGUAGCUUUUAACUUUAUAAUCCAUUAUUUUAAAGAGUGAACUCACUAGUUGUGAAAUGGUGAAGGUCAGUUUUCUGCCCUGUGAGUGACAGGCCUCUGCUGGCCAGGGGAUAGGUUGAGGCAGAUGGUGCCCAGAAGAAAGAGGCCAGCACCCAUUGCACAUGGCAGGCCUGGAAUCCUGCAGCCCUCCCCAAAACCGAGUGACCCAGGAAUGAAUCUGCUACAAUUCCACCUCGUUCUUUCAUACCCAGAGCCAGAGCCAGAGCCAGAGCCUUAAGCAUCAUGGUACCUCUUGCGCUUCUCACAAUCAGUGCUCGAGAUAUUUUGCAGAUCCUGUGCCUGAUGGAUCAGCUGGCAACACCCAGAUGGAUAAACUAGCUCGUCUGAUCUUGUGGCCCCCACCCAGGAACUGACUGGGCACUAGAAGACAGCUUCAACAUCCUGGGAUUUCAUCCCUGACCAAUCAGCACUCUUGUCUCACUGGCUUCCCCCAACCCACCAAGUUGUCCUUAAAAACUCUGCUCCCUGAAUGGUCGGGGAGACUGAUUUCAGUAGUAAUAAAACUCUGGUCUCCUGCA